AGGUGCUCUGUUUUGGGGGUUGAAUUAUGCCACUGGAAAUUUUCUCCACAGCUAAUGAAACAUCACACCAGAGUCAGACUAUGAACCAUCACUCUUGCCAAAGUAUGAAAUUUGCCGUCUACUUGUUUGAAAGGAGUCAAAUGCUGGUCAGGAGGCUGGUCUUCACUGGCAAAGGAGAAAGAAGGAGGUAGUUAUUCAAAAGAUGAGCUAGAACUGGGCAUUAAUGAUUAAAAUGGGCAGCUUUCACACAGAGAUGACUUCCGAGAAGAUGCAUGGCUGAGAGAAGGGAAGGGGGUGGAUUAUAACUGGAAAGAGGAAUCAUCAGUGCGGUGCCUUCCUCCUCCGUCUCCUGGAUGUUCUCUCUCUGAGGUUGAAAAAAGGAGGAAAAAUUAAUCCUACAAUGUGAAAAGAGUGUGACAAGUUUGUGAACAAAUGGAAGAGGAUAUAAACAAAGAGAGAAUGAUAAAUGUAUUUG
rnacentral:lncRNA from 1 species